rnacentral:rRNA from 1 species
ACUCCUACGGGAGGCAGCAGUGGGAAUAUUGCACAAUGGGCGCAAGCCUGAUGCAGCCAUGCCGCGUGUAUGAAGAAGGCCUUCGGGUUGUAAAGCACUUUCAGUGGGGAGGAAAGGUUGAUGGUUAAUACCUAUCAGCUGUGACGUUACCCACAGAAGAAGCACCGGCUAACUCCGUGCCAGCAGCCGCGGUAAUACGGAGGGUGCAAGCGUUAAUCGGAAUUACUGGGCGUAAAGCGUGCGCAGGCGGUCUGUUAAGCGAGAUGUGAAAGCCCCGGGCUGCAACCAU